CCUACGGGAGGCAGCAGUGGGGAAUAUUGGACAAUGGGCGAAAGCCUGAUCCAGCCAUGCCGCGUGUGUGAAGAAGGUCUUCGGAUUGUAAAGCACUUUAAGUUGGGAGGAAGGGCAGUAANUUAAUACCUUGCUGUUUUGACGUUACCAACAGAAUAAGCACCG
rnacentral:rRNA from 1 species